UACGUAGGGGGCAAGCGUUGUCCGGAAUCAUUGGGCGUAAAGAGCGUGUAGGCGGCCAGAUAAGUCCGCUGUGAAAACUCGAGGCUCAACUUCGAGCUGUCGGUGGAAACUAUUUGGCUAGAGUCCGGAAGAGGAGAGUGGAAAUUCCUGGUGUAGCGGUGAAAUGCGCAGAUAUCAGGAAGAACACCCGUGGCGAAGGCGGCUCUCUGGUACGGAACUGACGCUGAGACGCGAAAGCGUGGGGAGCGAACAGG
rnacentral:rRNA from 1 species